rnacentral:lncRNA from 1 species
UACCAAACUGAAGUCUCUUGAUCUCUUCUAGUCCAAUGCUUGGAGAGGCUCUUCCUCAGGUUGCUUGCAACCACAUGAAGUUGUCUGACCUCUACAAAAAGUUCACGCAAAGACCGGCGUAGAUCAGGGUCCUUAGAAGUGCCAGCUUGCAAGGAAACUUGGAGGCUGAUUUCUUCUUUCUUCUUCAAAUACCUUGGAUGCUCCAAAGGAUGAAGAGAUCUAAAGGGGAAGAGAUGA